rnacentral:rRNA from 1 species
GACGAACCGUCCAAACGUUAUUCGGAAUCACUGGGCUUACAGAGUUCGUAUGCGGUCUGGAAAGUUGGGUGUGAAAUCCCUCGGCUCAACCGAGGAACUGCGCUCGAUACUGCCAGACUCGAGGAAGAUAGAGGAAAGCGGAACUGAUGGUGGAGCGGUGAAAUGUGUUGAUAUCAUCAGGAACACCGGUGGCGAAGGCUGCUUUCUGGGUCAUUCCUGACGCUGUGUAACGAAAGCCAGGCGGGCGAUGUGG